CAGGAUGGACCCAGGUAAGUAUGGACCAUCCCUUUAGGAUACAACCAGGUAAGCAUGGACUGUUUCUUCAGGAAGGGCCCAGGUAAGCAUGGACUAUUCCUUCAGGAUGGAGCCAGGUCAGUGUGGACCAUUCCUUCAGGAUACAACCAGGUAAGCAUGGACUGUUUCUUCAGGAUGGGCCUAGGUAAGCAUGGACCAUUCCUUCUGGAUGCAGCCAGGUAAGUGUGGACCAUUGCUUCAGAAUACAGCCAGGUAAGCAUGGACUGUUUCUUCAGGGUGGGCCCAGGUAAGCAUGGAUCAUUCCUUCAGGAUGGAGUCAGGUAAGUGUGGACCAUUCCUUCAGGAUGGAGCAAGGUAAGCAUGGACUGUUUCUUCAGGAUGGGCCCAGGUAAGCAUUUACCAUUCCUUCAGGAUGGAGCCAGGUAAGUGUGCACCAUUCCUUUAGAAUACAGUCAGGUAAGCAUGGACUGUUUCUUCAGGGUGGGCCCAGGUAAGCAUGGACCAUUCCUUCAUGAGGCAGCCAGUAAGUAUGAUACAUGCCUUCAGGAUACAGCCAAGUAAUCAUGAAUCAUUCCUUCAGGAUGCAGCCGUGUAGGCAGAGACCAUUCCUUCAGGUUGGAGCCAGGUAAGCAUGAACCGUUCCUUCAGGAUGAAGGCAGGUAAGCAUGGAGAAUUACUUCAAGAUGGAGCCUGGUAAGUAUGGACCAUUCCUUCAGGAUGGAACCAGGUCAGCAUAGACCAUUUCUUCAGGAUGCAGACAGGUCAGUAUGAACCAUUCUUUCGGGAUGCAGCCAAGUAAGCAUGGACCA
rnacentral:lncRNA from 1 species